ACCUGCGGAAGGAUCAUUAUCGAGUUUGAAGUGGGCCUUUGAGCUGGCUGGAUUCGUUCAGUAUGCGUGCUCGAGGCCCCGCUCCAAUCCACUCAACCCCUGUGCACUUUCGGAGUGGCGAGUGGGAUCGCAAGGUCUUGCUCGUGGCUUCGUCUCUUAUCACAAACCAGUUUAUUAUUGUCAUGUAGAACGUGGAUGCCUGUAAAGGCGGAAACUCAAUACAACUUUCAACAACGGAUCUCUUGGCUCUCGCAUCGAUGAAGAACGCAGCGAAAUGCGAUAAGUAAUGUGAAUUGCAGAUUUCAGUGAAUCAUCGAAUCUUUGAACGCACCUUGCGCUCCUGGACUUGUUUCAGGAGCAUGCCUGUUUGAGUGUCAUGAAAUCAUCAACCACGAUGCCUUAUUGGGUGUCGCUGGCUUGGACUUGGGGAUCUGCUGGCUUGUCAAGAGUCGGCUUCCCUUGAAUGCAUUAGUCGGGUGCCUUGCUCGAGAAGUGUGAUAAUUAUCAUUCACUGAUCGUCGAGGAGCUUUGUCUCGGCUUCUAACCUGCAUUGGAAACGAUGCAAUUUUGACACAUCUGACCUCAAAUCAGGUAGGACUACCCGCUGAACUUAAGCAUAUGA
rnacentral:rRNA from 1 species